CAGAAGGAGGAGGAGCUCCAUCUGUACUCUCUUCAGGCAGUUGUGUCUCUCAGUGCUUGUUGGGUUCACACCUAUUAAAUAAGCUGGCUGGUCUUCACCCUCCAAGAGAAGUCAACUCAUGGGAGGUGGCAGGGUACAGGCAUUGGCCCAAGCUGUGGCUGGGGCCAGGCUGUGGUGUCGGCAGGCAAGCAGCAGACAAGACCAUCUCUGCAAGUGCAGCACAGCCUCAGCCUAGGGCAACGGGAGUGUGAGGCCAAAGCUGUGAGCAGAGGCAUAGAUUUACCUUUGGAGUCCAACCCUUCUGACCAUCCAGAGGCAAGCACAAUAUUCCUGAGAAAAUCUCAAAUAGAUGUGUGACCUUGGUGAUAUAUUAACAUAUCAAGCAAAGAGAUGCAGAUAGAUCUUUGGGCAUAUUUGAUGAACGGUUACACCCAUUUACAUGAGAAGACGUUUUGGAGGAAUAUUUUAAAUAUGAUCCUUAACACAAAUUGGUUUUCAGUUUUGUUUGUAUUCUGUUUAAAGCCAUAAGGCUAACAGCUGAAUUUGCAAUUGUAAGUUUGAAUGUAUGGAAUCACAGAGGUGGAACCUGAUGGCUGAAUAGCAGUCUCUGCCAAUUGUGCUCCCUUCAGGAAUAGCAAAUUUAGCAACUAUCUAAAUAAAAAAACCACCUGCAUAGGAACUAAAAAUCAGGAAUGAGUUGGAAAGGGAAUUCUUGAAGCUAAUUAAUUACAAUAUCAGCGUUACUGGCAGUGUUUAUAGCAGAUUCUACUUCAAUCUUCGAACCAUGGCACAUGACAACAGCCUGUAUUCGCUAGUUUAUCUUCUUGACAGAGAAAGAGCAUGGAAGCUGGAGGCUUUUUCAAGGAUGGAACAAGACAAAGUUUUCUAUAGUGCUG
rnacentral:lncRNA from 1 species